rnacentral:rRNA from 1 species
CCUACGGGAGGCAGCAGUCGAGAAUCAUUCACAAUGGGGGAAACCCUGAUGGUGCGACGCCGCGUGGGGGAAUGAAGGUCUUCGGAUUGUAAACCCCUGUCAUGUGGGAGCAAAUUAAAAAGAUCGUACACCAAGAGGAGGAGACGGCUAACCCUGUGCCAGCAGCCGCGGUAAUACAGAGGUCUCAAGCGUUGUUCGGAAUCACUGGGCGUAAGGCGUGCGUAGGCGGUUUCGUAAGUCGUGUGUGAAAGGCGCGGGCUCAACCCGCGGACGGCACAUGAUACUGGGAGACUAGAGUAAUGGAGGGGGAAGCGGAAUGCUCGGUGUAGCAGUGAAAUGCGUAGAUAUCGAGAGGAACACUCGUGGCGAAGGCGGGUUCCUGGACAUUAACUGACGCUGAGGCACGAAGGCCAGGGGAGCGAAAGGGAUUAGAUACCCUUGUAGUC